GAUUUCAACAGAAAAUGUCAUCAACAACAAAAUUGUAUAACUCAUCAGUAUCUAUAACUUUUAUUUUGGUCAUUUCUUCAUCCGACAAAAUGAUAGUAACAUUGUUCACAAAAUUUAUAUAUCCCAAUUAUAGUUUAUAAAACCAUAUGAGAUGUGUAAAAUUUGUGAACAAUGUUACUGUCACUUUGUCAGAUGAAGAAAUGACUAAAAUAAAUGUUAUAGAUAUUCAUGAGUUAUACAACUUUAUUUUUAUGACUUUUUCAGUUGAAAUC
rnacentral:pre_miRNA from 1 species